GGGGGGGGCGGGGGGGGGGCCGGACGCAGGCGGGUCGAGCGGCAGCACCGUGAGCGCUUGCGCUUACGGGUGGCGAGUGGCGGCCGGGUGCGGAAUACAUCGUAAUCUACUUUUUCGUGGGGGGUAACGUAGGGAAACUUACACUAAUACCGCAUACGCCCUACGGUUGAAAGCAGGGGAUCUUCGUACCUUGCGCGAUUGAAUGAGCCGAUGUCGUAUUAGCUAGUUGGCGGGUUAAAGGCCCACCAAGGCGACGAACCGUAGCUGGUCUGAGAGGAUGAUCAGCCACAAUGGAAGUGAGAAACGGUCCAGACUCCUCAGGGAGGCAGCAGUGGGGAAUAUUGGACAAUGGGCGCAAGCCUGAUCCAGCCAUACCGCGUGGGUGAAGAAGGCCUUCGGGUUGUAAAGCCCUUUUGUUGGGAAAGAAAAGCAGCAGGUUAAUACCCCGCUGUUCUGACGGUACCAAAAGAAUAAGCACCGGCUAACUUCGUG
rnacentral:rRNA from 1 species